GAUGUCGAUCUGGAGUUUGUCGCCUAGAGUGAUGGGCUCCGAAGCUAACGCGAUAAAUCGACCGCUGGGGAGUACGGCCGCAAGGUUAAAACUCAAAUGAAUUGACGGGGGCCCGCACAAGCGGUGGAGCAUGUGGUUUAUUUCGAUGCAACGCGAAGAACCUUACCUGGUCUUGACAUCCAUAGAAUUCUGCAGAGAUGUGGGAGUGCCUUCGGGAACUAUGAGACAGGUGCUGCAUGGCUGUCGUCAGCUCGUGUUGUGAAAUGUUGGGUUAAGUCCCGCAACGAGCGCAACCCUUAUUCUUUGUUGCCAGCGAUUUGGUCGGGAACUCAAAGGAGACUGCCGUUGAUAAAGCGGAGGAAGGUGGGGACGACGUCAAGUCAUCAUGGCCCUUACGACCAGGGCUACACACGUGCUACAAUGGCGUAUACAAAGGGAAGCGAAGGUGCGAGCUGGAGCGGAUCUCAUAAAGUACGUCUAAGUUCGGAUUGGAGUCUGCAACUCGACUCCAUGAAGUCGGAAUCGCUAGUAAUCGUAGAUCAGAAUGCUACGGUGAAUACGUUCCCGGGCCUUGUACACACCGCCCGUCACACCAUGGGAGUGGGUUGCACCAGAAGUAGAUAGCUUAACCGCGAGGGGGGCGUUUACCACGGUGUGAUUCAUGACUGGGGUGAAGUCGUAACAAGGUAACCA
rnacentral:rRNA from 1 species